rnacentral:sRNA from 1 species
GGCCCGUUUCCGGCGGCGUCGCGCGUUUGCGAGCCUCGGGUGGUCCUCAGGGAGGGUCUCUCGGCCAGAACGCGUGGAUGCCCACCCACCACUGAGCCUCAUGGUAGGAAGCUUGACUGCCUCCUUCCCCUCGCUUGUCCUGUGAAGGCCCACCUCCUGCUCUGCCCACUGGGCCUGGGCCCAGACCCUACCUUGGCCCUUGCUGGGCUUAGGAAGGCCCCCUUGCCCCCAACCCCAAGGUAGUGAGCAAACCCUUGCCCAAACCAGGGCCUAAUUGAGGCUCUUGAGGGGGGAGGGUUGUAUGACCACCGUGGACUGGGUUCCUUCCUCCUCCCCGAGACUGCCCCUCCCCAGAAUAUUAGAGGCAGAGGAGUCCUGGUGAGCGUCUCGCCCAACCCCAUGGUGCACCUGCCUGAGACAUGUCAUGAGGCAGUGCCAGAAGGGGGCUGGCACCCAGGGAUUCCUGGGGUGCUGGUGUGUGUCCUUUCAGGAGGUGGUAACAUUUGGCGAUGUGGCUGUGCACUUCUCUCGGGAGGAGUGGCAGUGUCUGGACCCUGGCCAGAGGGCCCUCUACAGGGAAGUGAUGCUGGAGAACCACAGCAGUGUGGCUGGACUAGCAGGAUUCCUGGUUUUCAAGCCUGAGCUGAUCUCCCGGCUGGAGCAGGGAGAAGAGCCGUGGGUCCUCGACCUGCAGGGAGCAGAGGGGACAGAGGCACCAAGGACCUCCAAGACAGAUUCUACGAUUAGGACGGAGAAUAAGCAGGUCUGUGAGGACAUGGACAUCCUAAAAUCAGAAUCCUAUGGGACAGUGGUCAGAAUCUCCCCACAGGACUUUCCUCAGAAUCCUGGCUUUGG